GAAAUCGCCUUUGGUACAGAUUCCUAAGGCAGCUGCGGCAAUGAAACGAGACCAGCAUUAUGACUCACUCCACGGAGAUUGAUCAUGGUGUCCACCACCAGCCCUUGGCCAUUUAUUUCUGUCAUUGCUGAAAUGGAAGCAGAGGAGAUCAAACGCACUGAACAACUAUGGCCAGAGAGUGGACAUGGACCAUUGCACAGGGAAUCAACGUGCAAAACUUUACCGGAUGUUUUUGGAGGAUGAAUAUAAAGCAGGAAGUCGAAGAGUUGAAGAGCAUGCUGGGCAUCUAUCAAAGUUUAUGAUGUGCCCCACAGGAGUCAGUAAGAGCUGGCCCAGGCUGUGUGUGCUCUGCAGUGGCCUUCCCUUUCUGUGAUCAUCCCUGCUGCAGAAGCCAUUACCAGAAUUUAGGAGUGAGAUGGUUUCUGGAGGUAAGAAGAAUGUUGACCUCAUGUGCAUGUGCUGAUAACAGAGGCAUGAGGAAAAAGGAAAACCACCAUCCCCAAAUACCAACCCCAGCAUCCUGAAGACACUUUGAGUUGCUUUCUUUUGCAUUACGCAUAUUUUCCACUGAAACACAAAUGACCUUGAAGUACAAUGCAUUCAGUAUAAAAUCAUUCAUUAGCUCCUUUCCUUGGGUACAGCGGAUGGAGAGAAGCACCCUUAAUUUGUAGGUCAAAUUCUAUGAACGGU
rnacentral:lncRNA from 1 species